rnacentral:lncRNA from 1 species
GUUUGUUUAUGUAAUUUAUACGUGUUUCUCGUUUCUCGUUUUUUUUAUAUAGAUUAGACCGUUGGUUUUCCCGUUUGAAUGGUUUUACACUAGUAAUUUUGGGGCCCUUUAUAGCUUGUUGUUCGGUGUGAGCCAAUACUCCGUGUUGAAGGCCGUACAUUGACCUAUAAUGGUUUACUUUUUUAUAAAUUGUAUUUGGAUGGAGAGUUGUCUCAUUGGCACUCACACCACAUCUUCCUAUAUCUAUUACCAUUCUAGGAUAUAAUUUUUUUUUAAAUUUCAUAGUAAAAGUGGUACAGUUUUGGCCGUAAAAUGGGUUCCUAUGGGAAAUUGCGUUGUGGAUAUUUACAGUUAUGCAACCUAUAACAAGUUAUUUGGAAUCCUUCGAAAAAAAUCAAACCCAUUUAUAAUAUAGAUAUAUUUUUAUUAACAAUCUAAUUUAUGUUAUACUAAAUAUCCAGAUAAACAUAAAUGCAAGGAAGUAAUGUUAUUUUUUCUGUUUAGUAAAUGAAAGUUAAGUAAAUACAAUGGUAAUUAUAUUUCGUAAUUCACGCCAUGUAGUAAAACAUGCGUCCUUAUGUUGCAACAUCGCUUAUUUCGAAUUGUGUUAAUUAGAAAUGAAUAACUAUAUGAAGAUGUGGUAUGAGUGCCAAUAGGACAACUCUCCAUAGGUCAAAGAACAGUCUUCAACACGGAGCCUUGGCUCACACAAAACAGCAAACUAUAAAGGGCCCCACACAUUACCAGUAUAAAACCAUUCAAACGGGAAAACCACCUGUCUAAUCUAUAUAAAAAACGAGAAACGAGAAACACUUAUGAACCACAUCAACAAACGACAACUACUGAACAUCAGAUUCCUGACUAAGGACAGGUGCAAACAAUUGCAGCAGGUUUUAAACGUUUUAAUGGUACCAAACCUUCACCCUUAUCCAAAACAAUAGUGUAACAUCACAAAAUAGAAAGACACAUUAUAAAUAUAAAUUGAAAUGGCCUAACUCAUUCAAAAGACAUAUUAGCACAAGUGAACAUUCACUGAAUGAAUAGAUUUAAUCUAUGAUUCAAUGUUAAUAAAAAAUCAAUUAAAAACUCUAUCGAUCUUUGCACUAUAUAAAAAUUAGAAGAUAUGGUUUGACUAACAAUGGCACAACUCUCAACAACAAACCAAAUGGCAUAAUAAUAAAGAACUGUGGUCAACUAUAUAGAUCACCGUACGGAAUUCAACAGUGAGCAAUACCUAUACCACAUUGUCUGCAAUUAAGGCCCUGAAGUGACAAAUUUUAAAUAAUUGAAACGGGAAAACUAGCCAACUGAUGUAUGAACAAAAUAAUAAACGACCAUCACCAAUCUUAAUUAUAGUCCAUUGUGUAUUAGUGUUUUUUUU